GUCUACGGCCAUACCACCCUGAACGCGCCCGAUCUCGUCUGAUCUCGGAAGCUAAGCAGGGUCGGGCCCGGUUAGUACUGGAUGGAGACCGCCUGGGAAUACCGGUGCUGUAGGCU
rnacentral:rRNA from 1 species